AUCCUCGUGCUCGUGAUGCUCAUCGUGCUCAUGAUGGUGAGGCGACAUCAUUGCCUGGACGCACGAGAAAAAUCACACUGUUAAAAUGUUACUCCAAUCUGCUAGGACGCGAAACACUUCGUAGGAAAAUAAAAAAAGACUUGCAUGUGAAAGAAUAUUGCUCAUCGACGCAAAAUUACCAGUAAACAAGAAACAUUAUAUCCACUUAUUGAAACAUUAAUAUUUUACGUACCCUUAUACAGCCAUUUCUCUCCGAACUGGAUUCGGCCGUCAAUUGAUACACGAGGAUCGGACACACGCGCUCGAAAAGCCAGCCAGGCAAUGUUGUGGUGUUAUUAUUGAUGGUAGAGUAAUGUGUGUCUUGGGCGACAGUGCGCAACAACUCUUCACUAUUUAAACACUGAAAUUGAAGAAGUAUCAUUAUAUUUAAAUGUUAAGAUUUCAUAAUUUUAUAUUCUCUGCUUAAAAAAUUUUACGAAUAAUUUAUAAUAUAAUAUUUAAUAGCAAUAGUUACUUAUUUAAUAAUAAUAGUAGUAGUUAUAGAAUAAUAUAUUUAAUCGUUAAAAGCAAAUUAUGAUAUAAAACAAAUUGAUAACUUUUUAUGUGAGCUGAAAUGUAAGAAAUUGGAAUUUCCAAUAAAAGUGAUAAGCUCUGAUAAAGUCAUAUAUAUAAUAUUUCGUUGAAAUUUGUAUAUACACAUUCUCGUAAUUUUAAAUUUGUAUAUGUUUCUAUCAAUUCUUAUUGAAUUUUCUAAGCAGAGUUAUUACAUGUAGUCCUUUGACCAAGUAUUAAAACAAUGAUAUAUUUAUAGAUUUUGUAAUUAACAAUCAAAAUGGAGGAAUAUAAGACUUACAAGCGUUGGAUCAAUGUGUAAAAUAAAUAAAAACAAAGUAUAUAAUUAGAUUACUAAAAAACAAGUGUACACAUAUUGUAAAAAUCUUUUUAUACAGAUGUUUCGACCCUUGAAUGAUUUUCAAUGUAUAAUGUAGACAUAAUUAUCAACGAUCUAGAAGUGUUACGCGUUGCAAUGAUUAUUUUAUUUUGAUGUACCCAAAGCUGAUAUUACUCAUUAUUACUGCUAUUAUCGCGUUACAGAUGUGUCAGUACUGAAUCCCAACAUCCGUUGUACGCAUUUUCCAUCUAUACUCUUGGCGAUUGCUUAAUUUACCCGCAUUUUCAACAUCCCGCAUUUGGAAUUACGCGGUUGAGUGACGCGGAUUCCUGGGUUCGCUAGUUUCUCGUAGGAAUCAUAGCAGCCAUCACAACAUUAUACUAUGGAAGAACUAAAAAAUUCUCUUUUUUAUUAUCUAAUGCGUAGCAUUUACUUUUACAUCAUCAAUAAUUGCGUUUACAUCAUGCAUUAAAAAUAAUCCAAAUAGAAUCGAUAUAAAAAAGUUCUUUUUGCAAUUUGCUUAUAAAAUUAAAAAAAUUAUUAACAACAUUAACUUUAACAUUAAUUUGAGGGCUAAUAGAUUCUUCAUCAUUUAGAAAAGUUCGACAUGUGUUUAUGUUUGUUAACAUCACUUCUGUUCAGAUAGAAGAAAAUAUUUAAAACGAUUAUUAUUGAAAAUUGUGCAAAUAUGCAAGGAAACAAAAAAAUGUGUACAGAGUGAAAAAUGAUGAAAAUGCACUUUUACGGAAAGAUCCAUUAUAGUAAAGCCAACAACGCAUAACAUUUAAUGUAUAACGUCGACACUUUCGAACGAUAUACGACUGCUAUAUAAUUAUUACCGACAUCAUCUAGAAAGUUCACGAAUAAUAAUGUUACCAACGCAUUAUCUCGGAAGAAAUAGCGCGUUCAUAGUUUGAAAUUAUGAUAUAGCAUAUCUCCAUUCUAUAAUGAUAUAAUGGUCAUAUUUAUAGCAUUGUCCAGCUAGUAUGUUUAUAGUAUUAUCAAUGCAUUCUUAGUUAUUUAAUUACAUAUUUUGUUUUCGUUUAUUACACGUAUUUGAUCCAGCGCUUGGCUUUUAUAAGCCUAAUAUACUUCUAUUUUUCAAAGUAUUUUAAUUAUGUCGAUGGUCAAAAGAACAAAAGUAUUUUCUAAAUUUCUUCAAGUGAAAUUCCAUAUGAAAAGAAGCGUAACAGUCGAGUUGUUCAGAAUCGAAUUUCACUUAUAUAUACAGUGUGUAAAUGAAUAUCUAUUAUAAACUUUUAAGGUGUGUAAGCGAAUCAUUUUUUUUUCAUUAAAAACACAUGUUUGUAAACGACGCGUUUCCGUGCUAUAGACCGGAAAAGAUCCCGGUUGUGCGCCACGUGAUAGGCAAUUUUUUGCACACUUGGAUCCACUGAGUUGCUUUCUUCUGAAACCCAUUAUUUUCGAGAUAUUUUACUUUUAAUCAGAACUGAGACUAAAUUUCACUUGCUUUCUUCUGAAACCCGUUAUUUUCGAGAUAUUUUACUUUUAAUCAGAACUGAGACUAAAUUUCACAAUCCACUUUCUGAUAAUUGCACUAAUGUCGAUACCUAUCACGCGACGCGAUUCCUUAUAAAAACAAAUUGAUUAACUAUGAAUCCUCUAUAUACCUUAAAAAUUUGUAAUGGUAUUCAUUUAUUAUAAAAUGAAUUCUUCUAUUCUGAAUCGUAAACGAAUAUAUUCGUAUUGUAAUAAUCAUAAAUAGAAUGUUUUCAUUGUGAAUGAAAUUUCACUCAAAACUGAAGAGUGAAUCUAAUGUAUAUAGACUGGCUAUAAUAUUUUUAACAUUUAUCAGACCUGUGAUUAUUGAGAUUUUUUUUUCAAUUACACGCAGUCUAUAUAUUCGAGAAUUACUACUAAUUAUUCGAAAAAUCACUAACAAUAUCAUAAAUAUUAUUCGAACAGUGAUAUUUGUAAUGUAAAAAAUGUAUAUAAAAACACUAAUAGAUAUCGUAGCUAUUUCAAUGAAUUUUCGCGCGCAAUUAAUAUUCACGAAUAUGUAGACACAACACGUGUAAUCGAAAAAUUCAAAUAAAUGUUAAAUACUACUGGUCUAUAUACAGAGUGUUACAGCAACAUACAUGUCAACAUGACGAGUAAAACGAUUUGCAAUACUUUCAUGUUUCCUUUAAUUAUAGAAAUGAAUGUAAUCUCCUUUACACAAACGAAUAUAUUGUCAAGUUCAAAAUAAGUCUAUGUCCGGGCACGCAUAUUUGCUAACGAGUAAGCAACUCGUCAUACUGAAUACGAAUAUGUUAAUACAUCUGUGCACUUAAACUACUCAUACACUUAAACUUAAUUUACAAUGUACUUUUUGCUUCGUGUUUCUUGUUCUCUGUCUUUUUUGGCUUAAAGCCUAAUCUACAAUGUGUUCUUUGCUUCCUAUUUCUUGUUUUCUGUCUUUUUUUAGUUUAAGGUUUAAGGUUUAAGGCUUGAGUCAGAAAGAGAUAAAGAAAAAGUAAUAGGAAGCAAAUAACACAUUAUAGAUCAAGCUUAAGACUUAAGAUGUGAGUCAGAAAAAAAUAAAGAAAAAGAAACAAGAAGCAAAUAACACAUUGAAGAUCACGCUUAAAGCCUGACCUACAAUAUGCUCUUCCUGCUUCUUUCUUUUUAUCUGUUUCUGACUCAAAUCUUAAGCUUUAAGCCAGAAAAAGACAGAAGACAAGAAACAGAACACAAAGAGCAUAUUUUAAAUCAGGCUUAAGGCCUGAUUUAUAAUGUAUCCUUUGCUCUCUGUUCCUUGUUUUUUAUAUUUUUUUGCUUGAGAUUUAAAUCAGAAAAAGAUAAAGAAAAAGGAACAAGAAGCAAAGAUGACAUUAUAAAUCUGGGCUACCCAGCGAGAAAUGACUUUUUUGAUCGAUGUCGAAACGAUGUCGAAUCAAUGUCGAUUUGGCAGUUUCGACAUCGAAUCAACAUUGUUUCGACAUCAAUCGACAAGUGAUUUUUCGCUGGGUAAGGCUUAAUAUUUAAUUUGAGUUAGAAAGAGAUAAAGAAAAAAAAACAAGAAACAAAGAAUACAUUUAUUUACAAGAUAUAUUUUUAGUCCAGAUUUACAAUGUGUUCUUUGCUUCUUAUUUCUUUUUUACUUGAUCCUUAGUCAGAAAAUCUUUAGCCAGAAAGAUAUAGAGAAUAAGAAACAGAAAGCAAAGAACAUAUUGUAAAUUAGACUUUAGUUGCAAGCCGAUUUAGACACAACUCGAGUAGCAUAAAAUAUUGGACCAAUGUUGGAUCUAUAGCGGCCAAAGUAGAAUUUACAAUGGCCAACCGUUGGCCAACUAAUAUGUCCUGCUAGGGAAUAAAGUUAGUAUCUGACCAAAUUGUCAAAAUUGCAAAUCAUUACCGACAAAUUUGCGCGCAGUAAUUAUAUUAUCAAUUAUUAUUAAUAAUAAUGUAAAUAUUAAAUAUAAUAAUUAUUAUAAUUACUCUCAA